UGGGGAAUAUUGGACAAUGGGCGAAAGCCUGAUCCAGCAAUGCCGCGUGUGUGAAGAAGGCCUUAGGGUUGUAAAGCACUUUCGGUCGGGAGGAAAAACCUGUUGUGAAUAGCUUCAGGCUUGACGCUACCGACAUAAGAAGCACCGGCUAACUCUGUGCCAGCAGCCGCGGUAAUACAGAGGGUGCAAGCGUUAAUCGGAAUUACUGGGCGUAAAGCGCACGCAGGCGGAUAGGUAAGUUGGAUGUGAAAGCCCCGGGCUCAACCUGGGAACGGCAUUCAAAACUGCUUAUCUAGAGUGCAGUAGAGGAGAGUGGAAUUUCCGGUGUAGCGGUGAAAUGCGUAGAUAUCGGAAGGAACACCAGUGGCGAAGGCGACUCUCUGGACUGACACUGACGCUC
rnacentral:rRNA from 1 species